AGUGAACGCUGGCGGUAGGCCUAACACAUGCAAGUCGAACGGCAGCACAGUAAGAGUUUGCUCUUACGGGUGGCGAGUGGCGGACGGGUGAGGAAUACAUCGGAAUCUACUUUUUCGUGGGGGAUAACGUAGGGAAACUUACGCUAAUACCGCAUACGACCUACGGGUGAAAGCAGGGGAUCUUCGGACCUUGCGCGAUUGAAUGAGCCGAUGUCGGACUAGCUAGUUGGCGGGGUAAAGGCCCACCAAGGCGACGAUCCGUAGCUGGUCUGAGAGGAUGAUCAGCCACACUGGAACUGAGACACGGUCCAGACUCCUACGGGAGGCAGCAGUGGGGAAUAUUGGGCAAUGGGCGCAAGCCUGAUCCAGCCAUACCGCGUGGGUGAAGAAGGCCUUCGGGUUGUAAAGCCCUUUUGUUGGGAAAGAAAAGCAGCAGGUUAAUACCCCGCUGUUCUGACGGUACCCAAAGAAUAAGCACCGGCUAACUUCGUG
rnacentral:rRNA from 1 species